UUGGAGGGCAAGUCUGGUGCCAGCAGCCGCGGUAAUUCCAGCUCCAAUAGCGUAUAUUAAAGUUGUUGCAGUUAAAAAGCUCGUAGUUGAAUUUCGGGAUCAGAUUGUCGGUCGUGCCUCGGUACGCACUGGCAUUAUUGGUUCCUACCUUCUGAAGAACCGCGAUGUCAUUAAUUUGGUGUCGUGGGGAAUCAGGACUGUUACUUUGAAAAAAUUAGAGUGUUUAAAGCAGGCGCACGCUUGAAUACAUUAGCAUGGAAUAAUGAAAUAGGACGUUUGAUUCUAUUUUGUUGGUUUCUAGGAUCGACGUAAUGAUUAAUAGGGAUAGUUGGGGGCAUUAGUAUUCAAUUGUCAGAGGUGAGAUUCUUGGAUUUAUUGAAGACUAACUACUGCGAAAGCAUUUGCCAAGGAUGUUUUCAUUAAUCAAGAACGAAAGUUAGGGGAUCGAAGACGAUCAGAUACCGUCGUAGUCUUAACCAUAAACUAUGCCGACUAGGGAUCGGAUGAUGUUAAUUUUUUAAUGACUCAUUCGGCGCCUUACGGGAAACCAAAGUGUUUGGGUUC
rnacentral:rRNA from 1 species